rnacentral:rRNA from 1 species
UUGAAAGGGAAACGAUUGAAGUCAGUCGUGCUGGCGCGAAAUCAACCUUCUCGUCUUGAGAUCACAUGGCGUGGCGAGCCUCAAAACCGUCACGAAGCGUGAACUCUUGGUGAAAUGGAGCACUUUCGUGUCCGCUGGUUAACAUCAAUUUCGAACGUCAUAAAAAGGCUGGAGGGAUGUGGCUCCUUCGGGAGUGUUAUAACCUUUAGCGGAAUGUGGUGUUCGGGAUUGAGGAUUGCAACGAAUACCUUUAGGGCUGUUCCACCUGGCUUCUCUUUGGUAUCCUGGUGACGACAGCUUGCUGACGUUGUUAGGAUUCGCCUUUGAACAGGUUAGAGUGUGAGCAAAUCGUUAAGGAUGUUGACGUA